GUCCCAGUGGCCUAAUGGAUAAGGUAGUGGAUUCCGGUUCCACUGAUGCGGGUUCGAUUCCUGCCUGGGACGCCA
rnacentral:tRNA from 1 species